rnacentral:rRNA from 4 species
UUUGGUGGCGAUAGCGAAGAGGUCACACCCGUUCCCAUGCCGAACACGGAAGUUAAGCUCUUCAGCGCCGAUGGUAGUCGGGGGUUUCCCCCUGUGAGAGUAGGACAUCGCCAGGC